UACGUAGGGGGCAAGCGUUGUCCGGAUUCAUUGGGCGUAAAGAGCUCUUAGGCGGUUCAGUAAGUCGGGUGUGAAAGCUCCGAGCUCAACUCGGAGAGGCCACCCGAUACUGCUGUGACUUGAGUCCAGUAGAGGAGCGUGGAAUUCCUGGUGUAGCGGUGAAAUGCGCAGAUAUCAGGAGGAACACCAGCAGCGAAGGCGGCGCUCUGGGCUGGAACUGACGCUGAGGAGCGAAAGCGUGGGUAGCAAACAGG
rnacentral:rRNA from 1 species